rnacentral:rRNA from 1 species
GCCGAAAGGCGUAGGCGAUGGAAAACAGGUUAAUAUUCCUGUACCGCCGUGUUAUCGUUUGAGUGAUUGGGGGGACGCAGAAGGGUAGGUCAUCCACCCGUUGGAUUAGGUGGUUCAAACCAGUAGGCUGAAAGGACAGGUAAAUCCAUUCUUUCAUUUCAAGGCCGAGAGGUGAUGAGGAUCCCGCUUGCGGGAACAAACUGAUUGAUCCCAUACUGCCAAGAAAAUCUUCUAGCGAGAUUAUAAGGUGAUCGUACCGCAAACCAACACAGGUAGGCAGGAAGAAAAUUCUAAGGCGCUUGAGAGAACCCUGGUUAAGGAACUCGGCAAAAUAACACCGUAACUUUGGGAGAAGGUGUGCCCUCGGUAGGUGAAGCACCUUGCGUGCGGAGCUGAGGAGGGCUGCAGAGAAAUGGCGGUAGCGACUGUUUACUAAAAACAUAGGACUCUGCUAAGUCGCAAGACGAUGUAUAGGGUCUGACGCCUGCCCGGUGCCGGAAGGUUAAGGGGAUCUGUUAUCUCGACUUGUCGGGAGAAGCUUUGAACCGAAGCCCCGGUAAACGGCGGCCGUAACUAUAACGGUCCUAAGGUAGCGAAAUUCCUUGUCGGGUAAGUUCCGACCUGCACGAAUGGCGUAACGACUUCCGCACUGUCUCAACCAGGGACUCAGUGAAAUUGUAUUGGCGGUGAAGAUGCCGUCUACCCGCGAAAAGACGGAAAGACCCCGGCACCUUUACUACAGCUUGACAUUGAAUUUUGAAAUAGUAUGUGUAGGAUAGGUGGGAGGCUUUGAAGCAUCGACGCUAGUCGGUGUGGAGCCACCCUUGAAAUACCACCCUUGCUAUUUUAGGGUUCUAACUUCGACCCGUUAUCCGGGCGAAGGACAGUGUCUGGUGGGUAGUUUGACUGGGGCGGUCGCCUCCCAAAGAGUAACGGAGGCGCGCAAAGGUUCCCUCAGGCUGAUUGGAAACCAGCCGCAGAGUGCAAACGCAUAAGGGAGCUUGACUGCGAGACCCACAAGUCGAGCAGGUGGGAAACCAGGUGUUAGUGAUCCGGUGGUUCCGAAUGGAAGGGCCAUCGCUCAUCGGAUAAAAGGUACGCCGGGGAUAACAGGCUUAUCUCCCCCAAGAGUUCACAUCGACGGGGAGGUUUGGCACCUCGAUG